AGGGCAGGGCAGGUGAGGGCAGGCAGGGAGGGCAGGUGAGCAGAGCCGUGCGGACAGCUUGGCAGGAAGGCAGGGCAGCGAAGGGAGGGCAGCGGUCCGGGCUGGCGAGCAGCGAGGGAGGCCAGCGCGGGCAGGAGCCACCGGCCAUCGGGCGCACCCCCGGCCGCCCCCAGGUGGGUGAAGAAGCCGGGAGAAGGAAGGGAGGCCCGGGGCUGCUCCCCCGGCCGAACCAUCGCCCACCCACCCCCGCCCCGCGCUGGCGGCCGGGCCGGGGCGCGGAGCCCCCGCGGAGCCCCCCGCAGCCUCCUGAGCCGCGCGGGGCCGGCCCCGCACAGCCGGACAAACAAUGUGAGACUUGGCGGAACAAAAGCGGCGGGGCUUGGGUUGCUGAACACGUCUGAGGCCAGACGAGCCGCGCGAUUUAUUGGACUCGGAGAGCCCCGGCUCCGGCCCCGCUCUGCCCACAGAGGAGAAGCCGCUGGCCCAGCCCGAGGCCUGGCCCGCCGCAGCUCCGGGGAUGCCCACGGCACCAGGCUGGACAUGGGUUCACUCUACCUGCUGCUCAUUUUCUGGCUGAUGAAUUGCAGCUCUCUGGCCCUGAGAGUUCACUGGGAAUAUCCUGCUCAGAUUGGCUCAUCGUGAUGUGAAUCAGGAGUGGGUUUAUAUGGAAAACCCCACCCUCCAAAAGCCAUGAGCAGCUGCCAGCAGGACCUUGAGGGACCCUCAGCAGAAGCCCCUCACCACGGCUGAUCCCACCUCAUCUUCCUCACCUCUCCCUGCCCUGCUGGCAGACCCUGGCCUGGAGCAUGACGUGGAUCCUGAUUUACACCAGUGCCUGUCCAGGCUGCCCAGGGCUGCUGAGCAGCACCGGGGGACACAGCACAGGCACAGUCAGGGUGCAGAGGACACCAGGACAUGCCCAUCCUGCCCACUGCGCCGUGGGCCACUCGCUGGUGAAGAACAUAAGGCUGGAAGAAUAGGAAAAAAAUUUUAAAAAAAGAAGAAAAGAAAGAAAAAGUGUCUCCAACCCCACGAAAUCUGUGUUAAUUGCUUAUGAAUGUCUCUGUCUAAAAAAUUAUCAAAUUGAUGUUGUCGUGCUUUUUUUUGACAGCCUGUCUGUUACAUUUUUUUAAAAUAUUCAUGCACCGAAAUCUAAUUACUAGGCAAAUUUAAUGAUAAUGAAAUGAAGGCACUUUAGCAGAAAGCAUAGGGCCUUGUUAAUGUUUUCUCAGCCUCUGUCUUGUUCAUAUUUUUAAAAUUAUUUUUUUUACAACUGUCUUUCUUGCACAUGAAAAAAAAAAAAAAAAAAGAUUGCUGAAAAUAAAGCUCAGAUUGCCGAUAA